CUGAUGGACAGACUAUACUCACCAAUGAUGCCCGUCCUGACGAAGCACGGGCCUCUCUCCCGGUGGGCGGGUCUGAGGCCUUCGGGAGACCCAGAAGCCCGAGCUCCUGGGACGGUGCCGCGCGCCGGGCGUCAGUGUAGGACAGAUGCACAUAGGCCAAGGACAAAAGCACGUCUACUGGCAACCGCAGCACUGCAGAGAAGUGCGGCUAAAACAGCGCUGGGGGGGCUCUGCCCCUUCUGCUGGCGGCUCCGCGGCGGAGGGCGGAGGGCCGGUGGCUGCGGAGACGCCGUCCUUACCCCACGACCGGGAAGCAGAUGCUACACCGCGCGGCAGCGUUGGUGCUGGUGAGGAGGACCGCGUGCAUGCUGUUUUCUUUGCCCUCUUAAUUUUCUCAGUGAAACACAAAACACAGUAAGAAUAGCACCGAGGAGAAUUUUGGGGACACAGUGAACAUUCAUAAAUACAAAUGUUUUUGUUAAUCUAACAAAGGCCCGCGCUGUAUCACGUGCCACGAAGGAGCCGAGGUGCUGGACAGGGAGGUGCUGCCUGUUCUGUAGGCUGCUGCCCCUAAGCGAGCCGCCCUUGGGAGCUCUGUCCUGGCUCUGCUUCAGCACUGCUUGACCUCCCGUCUUCUCCGCAGGAUGGGCCCUGGAGCCUGCAGUGUCCCAAGUGGAGUGCUGCCUGCAUGUCACACGUGUAAGGGUCAAACCUCUGUUCUUCUGCUUUGUUCCCGUUAAAAGCAUUCAUCAUGUUAGGUGACUGCUACUCUGGGCCUGGCCCCGUGCCACCUGCAGAAGGAGGCAAAAGGUCAAAUCCAGAAUGUGGAAUUUUCUCUUGCACACAUGAGUCAGUUAUUAGUUAGGGGCUUGAAGGGAAAAUAAAAAGUAGGACGGAUAAUAAAAGCAUAAAAACAUAAUGGAGUGGAAUGCGUAGACUUUAUUUGCAUCACGAUAGAACAAACCAACUGUAAAAAAAAAAAAAAAAAAAAAAAACACGUCUGUGUGGUUCCUGUCAAUACAAACCCAACUAGUAUGCAUGAGAACUCAGGUUCCAUCCCUGGCCCAGCAGAGUGGUUUAAGGAUCCAGCAUUGCCGUGAGCUGUGGUGUUGGUUGAAGAUGUGACUCAGAUCUGCUGUGGCUGUGGCGUAGACCAGCUCUUUCAACCCCUAGCGCCGGAAUGUCUAUAUGUCACAGGUGCAACCCUUAAAAAAAAAAAAAAAAAAAGUUGUGAGACGGGGAAAUUUGAACAUAAACGGUGUUGGCUGUUAGCUAGGGUUACCACUACUUUUGUUAGGGAGAGAUGGCCUAAAUGGUUAGGUUAAAAAAGGCCCCCAUCGUUUAUAUAGAAGUAUUUACUGUAAGUUGUCACAGUGUCUGUCAUUUAUUUGCUUUGUAAUAUGCUGAUUACUCAGGUUAAAAAAAAA